rnacentral:lncRNA from 1 species
UUUGGCUUCAAAGAUUCCAGCACUCUUUAGACCUCCUGAAAUACCAUGUAAACUAGGGAGGGGCUACUCAGCAGGUAAAGGUGCUUGCUGUCAACUUUGGUGGCCUGAGUUCAAUCCCUGGGACCCACAUAGGGUAGUAGCCAAGAACUAACUUUUGAUUUGAUCCUCUUUUUUUUUUUUUUUUUUUUUCCCAGAGCUGGGGACCGAACCCAGGGCCUUGCGCUUGCUAGGCAAGUGCUCUACCACUGAGCCAAAUCCCCAACCCCUAAGAACUAACUUUUGAAAAUUGUCUUCUGACCUCUGCUUGUGUGCUGUGGCACUUACACGGCACAUACUUACACACUCAUACAUACACACUCACACAGCACUCACACACAUGCACACAUGCACACACUCACACAGCACACACAUACUCACACAUGCACACACUCACACAGCAUACAAUACAUGCACACACACAGCAGACACACACACGCAUACACACAGCACACACAUACUCACACAUGCACAUACUUACACAGCACACACAUACUCACACAUGCACACACUCACACAGCACACACAUACAUGCACACACACAGCAGACACACACACGCAUACACACAGCACACACAUACUCACACAUGCACAUACUUACACAGCACACACAUACUCACACAUGCACACACUCACACAGCACACACAUACAUGCACACACACAGCAGACACACACACGCAUACACACAGCACACACAUACUCACACAUGCACAUACUUACACAGCACAUACACACCCCCACAUGCACACACUUACACAGCACACACAUAC